AUUGACCGCUGGCGGCAGGCCUAACACAUGCAAGUCGAACGAGUGGCGGACGGGUGAGUAAUGUCUGGGAAACUGCGCGAUGGAGGGGGAUAACUAAUGGAAACGGUAGCUAAUACCGCAUACAAUCGGAUGUGCCCAGAUGGGAUUAGCUAGUAGGGGGGGUAACGGCUCACCUAGGCGACGAUCCCUAGCUGGUCUGAGAGGAUGACCAGCCACACUGGAACUGAGACACGUGCCAGACUCUUACGGGAGGCAGCAGUGGGGAAUAUUGCACAAUGGGCGCAAGCCUGAGGCAGCCAUGCCGCGUGUAUGAAGAAGGCCUUCGGGUUGUAAAGUACUUUCAGCGAGGAGGCGUUACUCUCAGAAGAAGCACCGGCUAACUCCGGGCCAGCAGCCGCGGUAAUUC
rnacentral:rRNA from 1 species